GGGCUCAAGAGAUCCUCCUGCCUCAGCCUCCCAAGUAGCUGGGACUACAGGUAUGAGGCACUACACCCUGCUCAGGUCCGGCCUGGCAUGUGCAGGUGGUUAAAUGUCUCCAUCUGAUAUUUACCUGAGUAUAUUGCUCAAAUUUUGGAAGAGCCUUCUAGCUUUUCAAAUAACAUUUAUGCAUCCAUGGAGACCUGAAAUUCUCCUUCGAGUGGCAAAAGGAUUUUCUAUCAAAACACCAAGAAGGAGCAGGACCUCAGAGCCAUCCCAAGUGGAGUCACUAUCUUCCAAAUCUCAGAAGUAUUCUGACGACAGAGGCAUAGUGGAAAAGUUCCUGAAAAGUGAUGGAGAAAAACUGGGAGAAAGCAGACUUCUCAACCAUUUGCAAAAUUGAUUAAAUAAGGCUUUUUUUCUUUCUUUCUUGUUCAGGGGCUAACACUUCUAACUAAGGAUUGGGGCAUCUUGAAUACAGCUCUGACAAAUGGCACUUAGGAUCCCAGUUAUUCCUGUAAUUGGCAUUCUGUGAUUUCUUCAAUCUGUUUUCUUUAAUACGAUUUUUUAAAAAAUGUAACCACCAGAGGGCGUAGGACAUUACAUUUCAAAGGGCUUAAAUUUAUGUUUCAGCCACUAACUCAAUCUCCCUAAGCACACUUGAAAGGUGGAACCCUCUGCUACACAAUGGAGCCUUUUUCGUGUUCUCCUUGCCCAACCCUUCCGUGCUGAACUCAAGUCCUUCACCAAAUCCGCUGCCUCUUUAAAGCUUCCAUCAGCAGCAUCAUUUCUGCUGUUUGCCGAAGCGGUUUUCUUACCGAAUAGAUUGAAUUUUUUUUUUAACAUUCUACUUUCAUUAAAUUAAGCUAUCCCUUAUUCCUUGAUUUGGGUCACGUAAAGUUCAAGGCAAUAGUGAAUUAUUUCGGGGCUCUUCGGUUUGUAUGCUUAUGCCAACAGGACAUUCCUCUACCUAAAACACAAGGAAAGCAUUUGUAAAGCCUUUUUGCCAGGUGCUCACUAACCACAUCUCCCUGUCGCUUUAUGAACAUUCUCUCCCAGUUCCUGUGUGUGUGGAUGUGCGUAAAAAACUUUACACUGGCUCAUCACUUCUCUGUUAACCCUUCAGACUUAGCGCCCCGGGUCAAGAUUAGCAGCCUAUGUUUUGACAGACUUGAAAAUUCUUAUUUGUGUCACUACAUCAUUCAAAAGUGACUCUCAGCUCUUAGUUUUCAUAUAAUCUCCUCCAGAGCAUUGAAUGCCUGUGUCUAGGAGAUCCAUGCCUUACCGAAUUCACGUACCCUUAUUAUUAGGCAAUGGACUCUUUGAAAAGCUCAAAUAUGGCAUGCAAGGUGGUGUUGCCGGUCUACGUUACUUUAAAACCUUUAGGUCAUACGCUUUAGUAAAGUGUCAUAGGCGACUGUUUUGGGGCAAAGAAGAGCUUGAGUGACUUGACAGGCUUCUUUCUGUCUUAUUUUGAAGGUACUCCUCCUUUAAAUUAUAUUUACUAUGUUACAUGAUUAUGACAUUAUCCAGGUUAUAGUCGGCAUCUAGACUCACUACUCCCAUUCUGCCUUGUAAGGAAUGAUGGCUUCUGCCUCUAAUACCUUCUACUUCUCAGCACAUCAGUGCUCUGGAGGAGGAUGGCACAUUGAUGAUCCAUGGGUUGCUGCUCCAUGACACUUUAUGGAGCCAUUGUGUCCAAAUUCAGGGUACAUUAGAAUCAUUUAGAGUACUUUUAAAUAUGUGGACACCUGAACCUAAUUCAGUAAUCCUGGGGAAGAGUUAAGGGCUCUGUAUUUUCAACAGGCAUACAAAAAUUGUUAUGACGUAGUGUGGCAGACAUUGUCUAUUACUGCUAUGAUAUAUACACCUGGAAACACAGGCUCAAUUAAUAGGUCAAGAGCAGGGAGACAUCAAGAACUUAAAGAAAACAGGCCCUGUCGCUCUGCUUUCAGAGGAUGAAUCAUGAUUGGCCUAAACCAGGGUAUCAUUUAGGGUAACGGUAGCUACUAUAACAGAUGGACGCCUAGAAUCUCCUUGAAUUAACAAAAUAAAAAAUUCACUUAUUCUUCACAUAGCAACAGAAAUGGGUACUUGUCAGGCAAUGUUCAUGAACAUCUUAUGGCUCUCCAACUUCUCCCCUGACCUCAACUUUCUUCCAGCUUCCAUACACACACACACGCACACACACACACACACACACACACACACACACAGAGUGAGAUACAGAGAGAGAGAGAACAAGGAAAAAGGGGAUAUCCACUCAUUCAUUUCUUCAUCCUGGAGGACCCAAUAACUAUCACCCAUAUUCUAUUGGCAGGACCUAGUCACUCGGCUCUACCUGGAUUCGAGAGAGGCUUGGGAAUGUGCUUUCUUAGCAACCAUUCUACACCAUGAAAAAGAAACAGAAAUCUUUGAUAGGCAGGUGGCCACCCUGGCCAUGAGUAGUCGUGGUAGUCUUGUUACCCUUUUCCAAAGGUUUAUUGAUGGUAGCCACGUGACUGAAUCCUGUCUAGUGCGAUUUAAGAGGAAAGCUCCUAGGAAUGUUUUUUGUUUUUCUCACAAAAGGGAAAGACUCCACUAACAUGACUCUUAACCCCUUUUGGCUUCCACUUUUCUCCCUCUGGAAAGAAGAUGCAGUCACAAAGGCACAGCAAUCAUCUAGUAACCAUGAGGGAAAUGUAGAGAAGCCAACACACAAAACUUACUGUAGUUUACAAAAAAUAAAGAAAAAAAAA
rnacentral:lncRNA from 1 species